AUGUGAAAUACAGGGCUGCAAAAUCCCUUUUUGUUAUUUAAGGCUAUAGCCUGUUAUUAUCACAAGGGGGUGCUGUGAUGCAGUCUUGUGUUCUGACGACCUUGCGUCUAGUGCGCAGGAAGUAUUACCUGUCUCUUCCUGUGAGAUCUUCCCUCUGAUGGCGGUCAAGUACGUGUCGGAGCGCAUGGAAAAAGUAUCUUGGCCCCGAACUCUGACCACAAAGGGAAUAACGUCUGUCAAGUUAUUUGUGUUGGAAAAUCCCGAUUGGUUUUUUUGAACUACCAGAAAGGAUUCUGGAGAACCACUGACGGCGAGAACAGCCCAAAUGAGAUCCUGGAUGAUCGUGAAAUGGUGUGGCCAGCCAUGCGAUCGGAUUGUGGAUCUUGCCUGAGAAACUGAUUCAAGCAACCCUGGAUUUCAGAUAAGCCCUAUGCACUACUUUUCCUACCCGGAUAAUAGGGUCUGCACACUGACAAUUCCCCUACAGUACACCUGUUUGGGUUUCAACGA